AGGGUUUGAUUCUGGCUCAGGAUAAACGCUGGCGGCGCACAUAAGACAUGCAAGUCGAACGGACUUAACCAUUAGUUUACUAUUGGAGCGGUUAGUGGCGGACUGGUGAGUAACACGUAAGCAACCUGCCUAUCAGAGGGGAACAACAGUUAGAAAUGACUGCUAAUACCGCAUAUGCCUUAAUUACCACAUGGUAAUAGAGGGAAAGGAGCAAUCCGCUGAUAGAUGGGCUUGCGUCUGAUUAGAUAGUUGGUAAGGUAACGGCUUACCAAGUCGACGAUCAGUAGCCGGACUGAGAGGUUGAACGGCCACAUUGGGACUGAGAUACGGCCCAG
rnacentral:rRNA from 1 species